UAAUACGGGGGGAGCAAGCGUUGUCCGGAAUUACUGGGCGUAAAGGGCGUGUAGGCGGGUUGGUAAGUCAGAUGUGAAAUGUUAUGGCUCAACCAUAAAUUGUCAUCUGAAACUAUCGGUCUUGAGUUCGAGAGAGGGUGGUGGAAUUCUCGGUGUAGCGGUGAAAUGCGUAGAUAUCGGGAGGAACACCGGAGGCGAAGGCGGCCACCUGGCUCGACACUGACGCUGAGGCGCGAAAGCGUGGGAAGCAAACAGGAUUAGAUACCCUGGUAGUCCACGCUGUAAACGAUGGGCACUAGAUGUCGGUUUUGUCACAGACAAGAUCGGUGUCGCAGCUAACGCAUUAAGUGCCCCGCCUGGGGAGUACGCUCGCAAGGGUG
rnacentral:rRNA from 1 species